rnacentral:lncRNA from 1 species
CUGCUUGCUUUCGGCGCAGACAUCAAUCAGAGGGCCAAGGAUGGUGACUCUGUCCUGAUGGAGGCCGUGAACCGAAGUCUGCAGGAAAUGGUUGAGGUUCUUCUGGAACAUUGCCCCGAUAUGAGUGUUGAGAAUAUCAACCGAAAGACUGUCUCUUACUCUAGCGC